GUUUGUUAUAACUAGCUGUGCUAGCCAUCAAAGAUGGGUUGAAAUCCAUGUAAUAUACAUAGAGCUUGUUUUUUUUAUUUGUUACAUAGGUUGCCCAUUUAGUCUGGUCUAAUAACACAUGCCUGAUCCCUUUCUCUCAAGGCAACCUUUUCCUCUGUGGGUAGAGCUGACCAUUUUGGCUGCUUCCUCUCUGUAUCAAUCAUUGAACUGACCACUCUUGUAGUCACACUGUUUUGCUGGGAAAAUGCAGUGGUGGUCGGUACCACAUUGGCCUGGUUUAGCGACCCUAGCCUAGUCAUGUUGGGGCUUUGGGUUCACAAUGUGUGCAACAAUUUAUCAUUAUCUUCAUGUGAUGGGUAAUGGGUAAGUGAAAAUAUGUCAUUAGCAUUAGAGCUAUAAACCUCAUUCACAUGGCUAAAACGAGUCCAACAAAGUUACUACCAUGCUGCCAACAUAUAAUCCUGCACAGAAGAAUGGGCCAAUAACACUGAAUUUUCUUAUUUUUAGUCCUUUGUUCUUGUUUUUUAAUCUUUAUUCUACAUGUUUUGCCUAUUUUUUUAUUUUUCUUCCUAACCCUAGCAACUGGACAGGCACACAGAUAGGCAGAAUUAUAAACAGUCACUUUUUCUUUUGUUAAGCUAUAUAUUUAUUGAGCUUCUAUAAAAAAAAAAAAAACUAAAUUUGCCUAAAGUGCUCUCUCUGCAUCUUUCACUCAUGUAAAGUAACUAUUUUAUGUGCCCUUGUGUUCUUAUUGAAGAAAUCAUUUCAUAUUAUAACUACACCCAUCAUACUUAUUCCUUUCACUAUUCUGAAUAUUUCUGCCAUGUCUUCUUUGAAUCUGCAGUUUUCUGAAAACUGAAAACGUUAAUCUACAAUUUUUGUUCAUUUCCCCGCAGUCCUACAAUAAGUCUUUUUUGGAGUUUCGAUAGUGCAGUCAUUUCUAUAAUAAACCACCCAGGUGUCCAUAGUAUUUGAGUGGGCGGUACAUUAAAACCUACCUAUAAUUCUGUGUGGAGGUCAGGGGUACAGGAACAUCUCAGGUUGCUAGGAAACAGCAUGACUUUGACUCCAGUUAGUGUAUCAAAAGUAUUGGCUAGGUAAGGCUUGACUUUGAGAAGAAGAGGAGAAAACUCACAGAUAAAAAUGAAUUUUGAUGAGGGUCAAUCAGAGCAAUGGGUGUCAAAGCUUAGAAAUUUGACUGUGAAUUAUUAUUGUGUAUGUGUUGAUACCUUAGAGUGUGUGCAGCUUGUGCACAUACUAGAAGAAAAGUUCGCCUGAGGUUUGAAGUCAGCAAUUACAUCAAAAGUUAGCCCAUAUCAGUGAUUAUUCCUAGAUACUGUACUUGUAUUGCUUCAUUAUGUCCACAAUCUCCCCUUUUAUUACUAUUGAAAGAGUGGAGGGAGGAGAACACAUACAAUCUACAGCCAUAUAUUUGGUCUUUGAGAUAUUUAGCAGUAUUGAACAAACUCAUUGAGUCCAUGGCUGUUGUCCUUAUCUCACAGACUCACAAUAAUAGUGUCACCUGUAAAUUUAAACAUGUAUGCUUAUUCCUAAGUGAGCUCCUGUAGUAAUUUGUAUACAAAAUAAAAGAAAAUGAGAUAGUCAGCAGCCUUGAAGUGAUCCAAUGAAUAAAAUGAAGAUAUCAGAAAAAAGUACCAUUAGCACUCAUUCUUUGCAUUAUUUAACCUACAAAGUUCACUAUUCACCUCACUAAGUUCAAACAGAAUUUAUCAGUUUGUGAACUGUAAUUGAAUUGUAUUAAAAUCAGAUGAGAAAUCAAUAUAAAAAAAUCUGUAUUGAGUUUUCGGCCCUUUCAAGCCCUCUUACCGCAGAUUUAGAUGUGUUGCUGUGGGAUCCUCCACCAUCUUCAUUGCUCUGUAUGCAAAUUGGCUAUGGACCAGACAGACUGGGCUUCUUUUGACAGUUUCCUCUCUCUUAAUCAGCUUCUCAGAGGAUUUUGUGAUGAAGGUUUUGAUUAUCUGGUUUUUCCUGUUGGAUUAACAUUUCCCUGUUUUCAGAAUUUGGGCACCUGUUGUAAAUCCAGAGACAUCUCAGAUAUACUGGUAUUAUAUCAGUUGUGCCACACAGGAUGGAAGCAGGUGUCAAUUUAUUCUGUCUGGGCCACAGCUUUCAAAUUUUAAUUUUUGUCAAAGAAGGGCUGACCCCUAACUCCAGUCUUGAGUUUGUUCUUCUGUUGAAGAUAAGGAUCAGCUGUAUUCCAAAGAGUCAAACAUAUCUCAUUAUAAAAAUCAGUAAAGCAGAUUGCGCCUCCGCAAUUUUUUCAGUUACUUUUGAACACCUCCAAAGUUUCCUUCUUCCCUGGUUUAUUACUGAAUUAACAAUACCUACGUACUGUUUAGACUUAGAUUCAUCCAUGUUACAUAGUAUAUCGGACAACAAGCGUUCUCCAACAUUUCUUGUCUUUAGUAAAGUUUUUUUUAACCAGCAUUUUUCUCCAAGUUUUCCACAGAUGUCCUUUUGGCUGUUUGGUGUUGAGAGGUGCCCAUGUCAUUGCCGUCUUUGGGAUCCAAUGAUUCUCCAUUCGAAGGAUGUGGCUGGCAAAUCGGAGUCUUCUGCGGGCGAUGAUGAUGUGGAGUUUGCACAAGCCACUUCCUCGCAAAACCUCUUUGUGAUGUGAUUGUAGUAUCAGAACUUGAAAAUUCAUUGUAGACACCUCUGCUGGAAGACAUCAAGCUUCUUGUUGAUACUUGUCAACGCCUUCCAUGUUUCAUUGGCAUAAAUGGCUAAAGGAAUCACAAUACGGCAAUGUUAAGGACGUAUCAAGAAUAGACUACCAUUGGUGAAAAUGCUGAGCUUGGCCCUUGCAACUCUAAACUGAAUAAAGUGGAAGUCUAAAAUUGUUUGAUGGAUGGAAGCUUUCAAUAGAAGGGGUAGGAUGCAACUGAAGGAUAACUGAAGAGGAAGGUCUGUUGUAUGCCUAAUGAAAAUCGGAAUCCAAAGAUGCAAGAAGUAGAAUGGUGUUGCAGUACUGUUCCUUCAUGCAUCCAUUGUCCUGAGAUGAAAUUCCAUCCUCAUGCAGGAUUUGGAAUCCCUAUUCAACUGGAAAUGACUGAGACAUCUGAAAUUUAGGGGAAGACCUUUAUAAAGGAUCAUUUUGGGGAACCAGCUCCUACAACUUCAGGUAGCCACAUUCAUGGAUUCAAGUGAGCUACAUCAAACUUUAAAUAACAUCUUCAGGCGAAGGAAUUAUCCUGAGAUUCUCAGUGACAAAACUACCCUCACCACCAAAAGCUCAAUUCAGUCUGGACAGAAUGAUUUGCUUGACCUCACUACAAAAUUGCCAGCCAACAACCAUCAUCUGUUGUACCUUACAGAUAGCAUUGUAGACUUAAUUGUUAAUGGGAUGGGUCUUCGGUCAACCAUUGAAGACAGGGACUUUUGCAAGAUUCUGCAAUUGGCUGAGCCUCAUUUUACAAUACCAAGCCACAAGCACUUGCGUCAAUUCAUUCAUCGGUUGAGAAACGCCUGACUCAGUUUGAAAAUAUGCAGUGGUUUCAGUUGGCUGCAACCCUGGACCCAGGAUUUAAACUUGACCGGUGCAUGGGUGGAGAAAGACAAAACAUCAAAGACAUUGUAACAAAGAGGGUUCCUUCAAUCUCUUCACCAAAAGCAGCAACUACAAAGGAUUGAUAUUCACCACAAAAAAAAGAACAAAACGUUCUAUAUUUAUGGACACCCAAGUCCAUUCUACAACUACAGAGUAACCAGCAUCAGAGGAUGUACUAAGUUGCCUAAACCUACUGUGCCAUACUAAGGAGUUUGAUCCUCUCCUGUCCUGGAAGGGCAACCAGAACUGAUUCUCGUAUUUGCCUCAAAUUGCUUGUCAGUAUCUAGCUAUUCCUGCCUCAUCUGCUCGUGUGGAACGUGUUUUCAGUAUUUGCUGGCAAGGUAUUUAGGCCUGAGAGAUGCAAUCUUAGUUAUGAAAAAAUUUAAGGAAAUGAUGAUUGUUUGAUGCAAUAAAAUCUUAAUAUAUGUGAAUGAAAUACAUGAAUGAACAUGACUCAUUUUUUAUGGUUUGAGACAUAUAUCAUGUGGUAGCAUUUAUCUAUUUGAACUGGCAAUCAUAUAUGUGAGGUUUCUGAACUCUUUUAGGACCCUCCACCCCCCAACGUGAUGACAUGCCGAUGCGCGACUGCCACAUCUGUGGAGAACUGCUUGUCCAUUGCCGAGACUACCACAGGUUUGAAGCGCAGCAGCAGAGCACCGUGGAAACAACUAUGCGCCAAUCGUAUUAUAAAUGCAGGGAACAGUAAAACUUGGCCACUGA